rnacentral:lncRNA from 1 species
AUAAAAUAAAGGUCCAUUGACAACUAAAAAAAAGUUUUAAAAAAAGGUAAAGAUGGAGAUGUUGCUGGACACCAAUGUGAAGAGAAAUAUCAUGAAUCCUGAAAGCUUAAGAAGAAAGUAAUUUUCCCUUUUUGAGAAUUUCAGAGGGAGAGAGAGAGAGGUAGGGUGGGGGUAGACAUAGAGAAAUAUCUUUGGGACCACAAAAAUAAUGAAGUGAUAGCACUGAUGGCUGUGAUACAUCAGAGACUGACUGGUAAGUUCAAUUGUAUUUCUUGGGAUUACUUCUGUUUUUUGCAGACAGCUUCCUUGAUGUCCUAAAAAGUUUAAUAAUGAACUAAAAUAGCAUGGCAUGGUAGGUAUUGUGCUUAAUUCUCCUGAGUCCAUCCUACCACCAGAGACUUUGUAUCCAAAACAAUUAUAGAAAUUCCAUUCUUCUUUCAAGUAAUUAUUUCAGGGCUGGACAACCCUAAGCCAGUUUGGACUAAAGAGAGAAACUUGCCAAGGGUAUCUGGGAAGGAAGGUUUCUCAGCCUUAGGAGAGACCCACAAGAAGCUUUCCUUUCACUUGAUAGGCAUAAAUGAGGGUGGAUGGGUGUAGAUUGCCAACAACAGUUGUCCUACUACUAUAAGGUGAGCAUGCUUUAGGAUAAAGUCAACCCUAUAGGCUUUAUCAUAAGUUGCUUAUUCUUUCUUUCUUUUUUUGGCAACUUUCAAGUCUUCAGAGGAGAGGAACAGAAAGAACACACAUCUUCAGUGACACUGUUGAAUCCCUGAAGCUGCUCUACUUUUGGAAUUUCUGGUGCAUAAACUAUUACAUUAUAUUUCUGCCAAAGUCACCUUUGAUGUAAGGUUCAUUGCUGCCCACAGCCAUGAAUAUCCAGAGUGAUAGAAGUCAUUGGUAAGAAUCCUCUCCUUUUAGCAACCAUAGCAAAACUGUGAUAUUACCAUGGUGUCACAAUCAUCAUUUCUAAAGUGAUCCUAUUUAAAAUCACAGACACUUAUCCCAGGUGAAAGAAUACAAUUUUUACCAACUAUAAUGAGAUUCAACAAUUACAGGAGAGUAAUUUUGAAAACAGAUGUCAUGAUACUCCCAGCCUAUGCAAAGCUUAUUUUAGUACUUUCAUUGGCAAUUCUUCACAAGGUGCUCAGGGUUGCUGUGGCUGUAAUUGAUAAGACUGAUUGCAUCACAAAGGACAGUAACAUGCUAAAUUCAUUUCAACUUUCAGAUUGUAUUUAUCAUAGAAUUUAUGUGAAAGCACUCAUUGUUUUGACUUAAAAAGGUUAAAACAAAGCUCAAUUUUACAUUCUAUUUUCUCUAUUGUUAACCAUUCACAGCACCCCAUUUCCUAACUUGUCUGGAAUGUAUAUCUUAGAGAAGAAGGUGAUUUUAUUGCUGGUAACUGAUUUGAUUUGUUAGAGAUGGAAAAAAGUUCGGGGCCAUUACUACUAAAAAUAGCCAGUGCCAUCACAUUUUUGAAGUUAAUGCAUAAUCCACUUGUCAAAUAUUAAUGUCCAUGAUUCCGAGUGUAAUAAUGUUCAUGAUUCUCUUCCUGUGGUUGGCAUUUCUUUUCUCUUCUAGUUAAAAUCUUACCUAUCCCUUGAUUUUUAAGACUUAUCAAGUAUGAAUCAUUCUUUAAGCCUUCUUCAUCUGAGUCAUGCCAUACACUGGAGGAUAAGCUGGUGCUAUACUGAGAAAGUUGAGUCCUUAAGCUCUAGCAGAUCAGCACCGAGUAACAGGAAAUGUUUAGAUGGUCAAUAUUGCAUAACUCUAAUUCAAGUUCUAAAUCUACCUUGACUUCUGAGCCUUAGUAUUCUUACCUGUAAAAUGGGGACAUUUUAUAGUAAUUCAAAAGUGUAUUAAGAAGAUGAAAUGAGGUAAAUCAGAUAGAACUUAAAUCUAGCACCCAGCACAUGGAGAAUAUUCAAUAAAAGUUGUUAAAAUUAUAAUUUACACAUUAAGAUUUCAGUAGGCUGAUAUAUCUACAAAUCUGUAUCUUAGCAUAUACUUUUUUGUUGAAGAAUUCUACUUUUAUUUAUAUAUUACUUCAGUUUUGCGUAUUAAAAUGAAAAUCUGGAUUGUAUUUCCUUGGUCGAAUUUAGGUUCUGGAUUUUAUAUUUAAUAAUUGAAAUGUCCUCUUCAAAUGAUUUGAUAUCUUCACAGUAAAAAAUAGGAAAUUUUAUUGAUGUGAACAUCUUACAUAUACAUGUGCAAAUGCGUAUAAUGUCAAGAUUCAUUAGUAGCAACCAACCACUAAAUUUCUUUUGAGAUUUUAAGUAGCAAUAAGAGUCCAUUCAACAAAUAUCAAGAAUUUAUCCUAUAAAAAGCAUAGUGUGAUGCCUUGAAAAUUGUGGGAAGGAGAGACAAAAUAUAGCACAUUUUGGCAAGAUAAAUGUUUCCUGGUUAUAUAAGCAAAGUAAUUUUAUUAAAUGCAGAAACUAUUGUCUUGCAUGAUAAAUGAGGACCAACAACACCCCAAAUUUACUUUCCAAGUAUGGUUUCCUCACAUUAAUACCCUUUCUACUUUCUAAAUUACCUUUUUGAGAAAACAUGGGAUAGUGGCUGGAGUCCAAACUGGCAAAUAUGGGUGCCGCAGUCUGGCUGGGCACAAUCAGGAGCCACUUGUCAAAAGAAACUAACUUUAUUUUUAGAACCACACACGCCAAACAAAACAGCCUCUCAGGAAAAACCCUCAGAGCCCCAANCAGAGGAGCCAAUCAGCUAGAUGUUGCUGGGGCCGCUGUGAGCCAAUCAUCAGCUGGCAGCUGGAAGUUUGCUGGCAGCUGGAAGUUUGCUGGGGCCCCUUGGCUGUGGCUCUCAACAUAUGGGUAAGAAUCCUGGCUCCAGCACUUAUUCCCUGUAUGACCUUGGGCAACUCAUUUAACUUCUUAGCAUCAUUUUCAACAAAAGGGCCAAGUUACCUCUUCCAUUAUCCAGUAUUAUGCAUUAAGAGGCUAACCAAAUAUGACUUCUAGCUCCUUCUAUUAAAGAUUGUUUUUACUUUUGUUUUAAGAGGACUUUUUAGGCAACAAUUCCACUAAAUGCUUUAAUCAAUUAACCAAUAUUGGAAAUUCUAUUAAUAUUCGAGAGAAAUAGCACUAAUCAUCAUUUAUUUCAAUUACUCAGUUACAUCAUUAAACAUAAUAAAGGAAAAUAAAGACCAUCCAGGAAGUUAUUCAUUAUUUCUAAAAAUUAGUUGACAAAAGUAUUCAUUUUUGGUGGGAUAAGCUGGUGCUAUAUUGAGAAAGUUGAGUCCUUAAGUGCUCACAAUGAAGAUAAAAGAUGUGAGUGGAAUCACUCAGCCAAAUUGGCCUCUCUUUUUUUGUUACAAAGAUAUGCAGAAAGCUUUGAAAACUCUCAUGCCAAUGUAUAAAGAUGCAUGGAAGAAAUUUUAUCAUCAUGGGAUAGAUAUAAGAGAGGUUGUGUAUUAGUCAGGGUUCUCUAAAGGAACAUAACCAACAGAUUAUCUAUCUUUCUAUCUAUCUGUCUGUCUGUCUGUCUAUCAUCAAAAAUGGGAUUUAUUAAAUUGUCUUACAAGACCAGAAUCUGGAUAAUCCCUCAAUGGCUGUCUUCAGGUGGGAGAGCUGGAGGAACCAGUAAUUGCCCAGUCCAAGAAGCUGGAGUUCCAGAACAAAGAUGUAUCACUGGUCCAGGACUGAAGUUCUGGUAAUUCCCUGGACAGUCUGUGGCCAGAGUCCCAUUUGGAAGUCAGAGGGAGGUGGAGUCUGAUGUUCUCAGGCCAUCACAGCAGCAAUCAAAGCAUGCACUCAAGAAUGACUGAGCUUGCAUCUGCUGCUACUUCCUCAUUCUUUCAACUUUUUGUUCCGUCCAGACCCCUAACCUUUUGGACUGUGCUGCCCAUAUUUAUGGUGUGUCUCCCCCUCAGCUUGCUGUCCCAUAUGCUAAUCAUUCCCAGAAAUACCCUUAUUGACACACCCAGUAGCUUUUAAUCUUAGGCAUCUCUUAAUCCAAUCAAGUUGACACUGUAUAUGAACCAUCACAGCAUGUGAAUUUUUUAAAAAAUCCAAUGUAUCAGAAAAUGCACAAAUAAAUUAAAAGGCAAACAAUAAAACAAGAAAAUGUAUUUUCAACAUAUAUAUGAAGUAACAAAUUUCCCUACUAUAUAUAAUAGGCAUGCAAGUCAAUAAGAAAAGGCUAACAGUCCAAUUGAAAAGUGGUCAAAGAUCACAUACAGUUCAUUGGAAACAAAGUAUCAAUGUCUUAAAAACAUAAAAAUAUGGUUUUGCUCUUAGUUAAGAAAAUGAAAAUGAAACAUCAGUUACUAUUGCUCACCUAUUAUAAUGUAGGCAGGCAAUUUUACAGUACUUGAUAUUGAUAUGGAUAUGGAGAAACAUGUUUGGGGAAAUCUUUUCAGAAGACAAUUUGUCAGUUUCUUUCAAAAUUGCAAAGCCCCAUACUAUUUAAUGAAUAAUACCUUGUAUAGAAAUUUGUCUUACAAGUAUACAUAUAUACUUUCACAUGUGCACAAAAAGUAUGUUUGAGACUAUCUAUUGCGGUAUGGUUUAUAACAGUAGCAGACUUAGAAAAACCUAGCUGCCUGCCACUGGGUACUAGAUAAAAUAUAUUAUGGGACACCUAUACAAUGGCACACUAUAGAACAAAUAAAAUAGGUCAUUGGAAUGAUUUCUAAGAAGUAUUAUUAAAUAAAACUGCAUAUAAAUUGGACAAAACUAAAAGACAUUUCAGGCCAAUGCAACACAUGAACCUUGUUUGAAUCCUAAAGAAAAUCAACUUCGAAAGUGCAUUUAUGAACCACCCAGGGGAAAUUUGAAUGUUGACUGGAUAUUUUGAUGAUACUAAAUAAUUUUUGGGUUUUGUUGGUUUCGUAAUAAUGAGGAAGUCAUGUAAAGAACAACACAUUUCAAAGAAACAUUAAAGCAUUCUGGGUCAAACAAUGUUUGCUUCAUAAUGAUCUAUGAAUUAUGAAGAUUAAAGGAAAGAGAGUAUAGAUGAGAUAAAGAAAGGGAGUCUAGAUUGGUUCUGAGCUGAAGAGUAGUGUAGCUGGAUGAUGAGUACAUGGGGAUUAAUUAGACUAUUUUUUGCCUUUUGAGUGUUAGCAAUUUUCCUGAUAAAAUUUAAAACUAAAAGUUGAUAACUAAAGUUUCAAAAAGUUAUAAUAAAAUGUUAAAACAAAACAAAACAAAACCUAAAAUCAAAAUUGUAGGGGUUCUGUGUUUGGGAUUGAGGUCUCUGAUAGCUUCAUGACAGUGGCAUGCUUGGUGGCUAGGAAGUUUAAGACACAGAAUACCUGGUUGGUAGGAAGUUUCUGUGCAAGACGCAGCUGCUGGAAAAACUUCUGUGCAAAGACACAGGAUGCUUGGCUGCUGUAGCAAUGUCCUUUAGGAGGAGGCUCUGUGUUAGACUUAUCAGCCUUGACCUUGAUCUUAGGCACACAGCUCCUUGGAAUAAAGGAACUCUCUUGUUACACAACCACAAUGUUUCACUGAGCCUAAACCUGCCCACAUAACAGUAACUUUAUAUAAUGGAGUUUCCUGAGAGAUGCACAAAGCUCCUAACAUUGCAUAUUGCAACUCAGUAUGUAACUGAGAUAUAAGCUGUAUAGUGUUGCUAAGUCUGUAACCUGCCUAGUCAUACAAUAUGUACUAAUGAUGCAAAUGACCUAAAGUAACCUAUUGAUAUAAAUAAAGCUUGGCAGCUUGGUCCCUCUGCCAUUCUGCUAUUUUUCUUUCCUUCCUCUGCAUUUUGUCUCUGUGUCUCCUUUUCUUUUCCUUACACAAAAUAGUAAGGCAGCUAUAUAAAAGUAUGGAAGGCUUAUAAUGAAUCUGCAUAGGAAAAUUUUUUGGGAGGAAAAAAAAACACUGAUAAUGUUUUCAUUAUGGGGAGGGAAUUAGUGGCAUAAGGUGGAAGGAAUGUUUAUUUUUCAAUAUU